rnacentral:rRNA from 1 species
AUUGAACGCUGGCGGCAUGCCUUACACAUGCAAGUCGAACGGUAACAGGUCUUCGGAUGCUGACGAGUGGCGAACGGGUGAGUAAUACAUCGGAACGUGCCUAGUAGUGGGGGAUAACUACUCGAAAGAGUGGCUAAUACCACAUGAGAUCUACGGAUGAAAGCAGGGGAUCGCAAGACCUUGUGCUACUAGAGCGGCCGAUGGCAGAUUAGGUAGUUGGUGGGAUAAAAGCUUACCAAGCCGACGAUCUGUAGCUGGUCUGAGAGGACGAUCAGCCACACUGGGACUGAGACACGGCCCAGACUCCUACGGGAGGCAGAAGUGGGGAAUUUUGGACAAUGGGCGCAAGCCUGAUUCAGCAAUGCCGCGUGCAGGAUGAAGGCCUUCGGGUUGUAAACUGCUUUUGUACGGAACGAAAAGCCCUGGGUUAAUACCCUGGGGUCAUGACGGUACCGUAAGAAUAAGCACCGGCUAACUACGUGCCAGCCGCCGCCGUAACAC